rnacentral:rRNA from 1 species
AACGAACGCUGGCGGCAUGCCUAACACAUGCAAGUCGAACGAGACCUUCGGGUCUAGUGGCGCACGGGUGCGUAACGCGUGGGAACCUGCCCUUAGGUUCGGAAUAACUCCCCGAAAGGGGUGCUAAUACCGGAUAAUGUCUUCGGACCAAAGAUUUAUCGCCUUUGGAUGGGCCCGCGUUGGAUUAGCUAGUUGGUAGGGUAAAAGCCUGCCAAGGCGACGAUCCAUAGCUGGUCUGAGAGGAUGAUCAGCCACACUGGGACUGAGACACGGCCCAGACUCCUACGGGAGGCAGCAGUGGGGAAUAUUGGACAAUGGGCGAAAGCCUGAACCAGCAAUGCCGCGUGAGUGAUGAAGGCCUUAGGGUUGUAAAGCUCUUUUACCCGGGAUGAUAAUGACAGUACCGGGAGAAUAAGCUCCGGCUAACUCCGUG